UUAGAGACAGUGAUAGGGAGUAGUAAAUAUAUGAAGUCUUAUAGAGAGAAUACUCUUGGCUGGAAAGUAUUUAGACUAAUAUAUUGAAGCAACCCUUAAGUUAAAACCUUGAAUCUAUUAGAGUAGAGGUUUUCGGUUAUAACCGUUAUUUUGGUAAAGAGACUAUUGUAGUAAAUAGGGUGGUACCGCGGGUAAACUCGUCCCUAAG
rnacentral:ncRNA from 1 species